AAAAAAAUUCCUUAUACAGCGUGACAGUUUUGGAACAUUUGGGAGACUUGUCAUAACCUUAAUACUGCUUAUAUAUUGUUCAAAUUCAGCCAGAAGUCUGUAAAUUCCUUUUCAAUACUCUACAAUUAUGAAUAUGGAAUUCAACAAACAAUAUUAAAAAGUUGACAAUG